rnacentral:lncRNA from 1 species
CAUUAAUGGCACGAAUUGUAGCCCCGAAACCCUGGCCGGAAAUGAUACGAGAAUGACAAUUGUUCAUCCAAAACCACAAGGCAGUUUUGAAUGAAAUAACAUUAUCCCUGGCUACAAGUUCAGGUUGACUUAGUCCAUUGAACCCAAUACUUUGUCCUGCUGGUCCAUAGUUGAAGUUCCAUGAUAUUUGUAGUGGACCGCGGCCGUAAUACCCCUUGCCUAGCACACAUGGACACUGAGUGUUGUUCUUGUCACAGUAGUUUUUAGACGGGCCGUUUAUCUCUUCUAUAUAGCACAUAUCUGCAUGAUAUAGAGAAGUCGUAUUAGUUAUCAUUCCGUCGAAUUGCCAAAAAAGAAAAAAUGGACGUUAGGUAAGACAAGGAUUGUCGGAUGAUAUGAUAACGAAAAAUGUAGAAAACAAAUUUUAUGAGUUCUAAUAACAAUUAAUUGCAAAAUUAUAGAAUUGAAAGGAUUUAAGAAUCACAAACAAAAAUAUUUAUGUGGGAGAAAAGAGAAUAAAUAACUUAACUCAAAAUGUCAUUAAUAUUUCAAACAAAGAAGAAAAUCUCACCACAAUAAAAAUCUAAUCAAUUUUCUAUAGACUAUUUUAGGCUCUCUUAAAUUUUUAGAAAAUACUCCACCUAAUACUCUAUUGAUAAUUUAUCAAAAUCGUUGAAUAAGAAACAACAUGAUUAAUUAUGAAAUAAAACUCCAAUUACUAAAUAAUAAAAUUACUAGAAAUUGGCUUCAAUAAAACUAAUGAUAAUUAAAUAGAAAAGUUUUGAAGCUUGGUUUAUUUUGCCAAAAAAAGAAAAAGAAAAGAAGAGCCAUCAAUAUUUUUGAAUGGACCACAAGUGAUUUAAAAUUUACAAAGUUGUAAGUAAUGAUUUAAAAUUUACAAAGUUGUAAGUAAUCACAUGCUUACUAAAUUAUAAAGUUGACUGCUACAACAAGGUAAAAAGAACGGAAAGUAAUAAUUUCUCGGGUUAAUCGUACUUUAUCCCCUUUAAGUAUAGACCCUUUCUCACUUUACCCCCCAACGUUUGUUUUUCCUCAGUCUACCCCAAAAACUAACAGUCAACUCUAAUGGACAUAAAUGGAAUAUUGAAAAGACAAUAAUAUCCUUAUGAAAAUACUGAACAACCCAAAAUACCCAUAGAUGCUAGUUUAUGAAAUGCAAGUUUCCAAAAUUACCCUGGAAUAAUAGAGGGAAAUUUCCCUCCAUCUGGCACGGGACAAAAAAAAAAAAGACCAGCUCUUUAUAUACCCAUUGUUGAAUAAAAGACUAGCUCUUUAUGGCUUUCGUCUAUUAUACUUACAAAGUACCCAUUUUUCUUAAAUACUAAUUUAUUUGUCGGAUAACAUAAAAAUAAACCCGUUGUUGAAUAAAAGAGUUCCACUUUUCAAUGCUUUCGUUCAUUAUAAGAACAGAGUACCCAUUUUUCUUAAACAAAAAUUUAAUUAUCGGAUAUAAUAAAAAUUAACUCGUUGUUGAAUAAAAAAUCAACUCUUUAUGGCUUUCCUCCAUUACAACAACAUAGUACCCAAGGUGCCUUAAAUAGAAAUUUAUUUAUUUGAUAAAAUAAAAAUAAAUCCAUUAUUGAAUACAAGAUCAGGUCUUUAUGCCUUUCGUCCAUUAUACUCACAGAAUACCCAAGGUACCUUAAAUAGAAAUUUAUUUAUCGGAUAAAAUAAAUUAAAACCCAUUAUUGAAUAAAAGACCAGCUCUUUAUGACUUUCGUCCAUUAUACUCACAGAGUACCCAUUUUCCUUAAAUACUAAUUUAUUUGUCGAAUAACAUAAAAAUAAACCCAUUGUUGAAUAAAAGAGCCCCACUUUUCAAAGCUUUUAUCCAUUAUAAGAAUAGAGUACCCAUUUUUCUUAAACAAAAAUUUAGUUAUUAGAUAUAAUAAAAAUUAAGUCGUUGUUGAAUAAAAAACAAGUUCUUUAUGGCUUUCCUCCAUUACAACAACAUAGUACCCAAGGUGCCUUAAAUAGAAAUUUAUUUAUCGGAUAAAAUAAAAAUAAAAAAAGACCAGUUCUUUAUGCCUUUCGUCCAUUAUGCUCACACAGUACCCAAGGUGCCUUAAGUAGAAAUUUACUUGUCGGUUAAAAAUAAAUUUAAACCCGUUAUUGAAUAAAAUAUCAGUUCUUUAUGACUUUCAUUCAUUAUACUCACACAGUGCUCAUUUUCCUUAAAUUCUAAUUUAUUUAUCGGAUAACAUAAAAAUAAACCCGUUGUUGAAUAAAAGAGCCCCACAUUUCACAUUUACAGUUAGAAUCCCCUCAACUUUUCCUAUCCCCUUUCUGCUUAACUGCAACGCCCAACAAGUCUUCAGAUUCCAGGUCACAAAAGACCUUUACACGUGCCCAUCCAACACAUUUUCCCUUUCGUUUGUGGCCACAAUCACUUACACCUCCUGUUCCCCCACCUUUCCACACCUCUUCUUUGACUAAUAAACAUAUCGCAGCAACAUCCCUGUUUCUAAGGCUUCAUAACUGCUUUUCAAUUUUUUCAUGCUCAUUUGCCAAUUUUUCAUGCUCCCUUUGCAAGUACAUUAGUUUCUCCUUUUGCUCCACCAGUCUAGAUUGCAGCACUGCACUUACUUCUUUUGUUUUGCUACAAACUUCAGGAUCUACCCAUGAAAAGUGCCCACAUGCAUGUCGGUUCUAAAUAAAAGAAAAAAAGUUGUUUAAACUCUUUCUAACUUAUUCAGGUAUAGAGCCAAAUUAAAGACAAUAUUAACAAAUUAUUAAUGAAAAAUUCUUACAUUGUAAUUUGAGCAGCCGUAAAAUCUUCUUCCCGGAUUUUCAAGUGUCCAAAAGGUGCACAAUGGUGCCUCUUUACCAUAUCCACACAUUUUUUGGGGUGAUCUUUCAACAUUAUUUGAAGCACUUUGUGACAUUUUAUGAUGCUUUUGGUUGACAAAGAGAAAUUUUAGGAACUUUGGAGAGAAAUUUUAGGAACUUUGGAAUAUGCUAAAAUGUAUGAGAAAAAUUGGCUGCAAAAUACCACCUUUUGUAGAACCCAACCAACGGCUAAAACCAACUAACGGCUCUUUGAGGGAAAAAGUAGGCUAAAAGCAUCAGACACCAUUGAGGGGCAUUUUUUUCAGCUAAAACCAACGGCCCUUUUCGUAUGGCAAUUAAUGGUGCAAUUGCUGACCGGGGGAGGGGGGUAAACUAAGGAAAAACAAACGUUGGGGGGUAAAAUGAGAAACGGCUUAUACUUAAAGGGGAUAAAGUGCAAUUAACCCUAAUUUCUCUAUCCAAUUAUAAGUGGCACCCAUAUUCAUGAUAAAUUAUUACAAUAAUAAGUAUUUCUUGUUAAAGUUUUAGUUUUUGUAGAAAGUUCUUGGAUAAUAUUGCAAAGAAAAAUAGUCAAAACUUGGGUAGAUCCGGUUUUCAAAAAUCCAAUAGACCAAAGUGUGCUCUACUAUCUCACCAAAUGGUGUGACACAAUUUGGACUAUUGAAUUUUUGAACAUGGAACUUACCCAAGUGUGAGUCCAGAAAAAUAAUCUAUAUGUUAUUGUACCAACAUUUAGAAAAGUUACUAAAAAUAUUUUAUAGAAAGUUCCAAAGUAAUUCUCUUUGGUAGAGUUGUGGAAAACACUUACGUCCAGUCUCAUGAGUGACAUGAGCAAAGAAAGCAGCAACCUCCCUUUUAGAAUCAUCAGCAGAACCAGCAGUUCCAAACUUAGAAUACGACUUCUGAGCUUCAAGAAAUGCCGAUCGAGUAUAGAACCCUUUUCCAGCACAACCCGAAGCAGCUUGGUUAGCAAUCCCAUUAAAGAAAGCGUCCGUGACAAUACCAGCAACUGAAGCACCAUUAUUACCACCGCUGGGUGCAGCAGUGCAAGGGCCGGAUUGGCAGCCGGGGCCACAGUAGUCGUUGCUGGUGCCGCAAUAGCCGAAUUUGCUGCAGCAUAAGUUUGGUGCACAGCCACAGUUUUGACUUGAAAUCAGCUGUGGGAAGGCUCCGAUAAGAACCUUAAUGGAGAAAAUGAUGGUUGGAAAAUUCUUCAUUUUUGUGCUUGAAGGAAGAGAAAUGGAUGUGGGCAGAAGCUGUUUGAGAAAAAAGGGUAUAUAUAGGGAGGAGAACUGGAAAAUGGAUCAGCUUGUGUGAAGAAGGGAGAGCUGUUAUUCUUGAAAAAAUUUAAGUUGACUAAUGAAUGAAAACAGAAAUCACGUUUGACUUUAAUUCGUGCAUUGACUUUGACAGUGUCAAUAAGUGGGAAUUUUUGUUCUUGGUUUCUAGAAUGGUAUUUGUGAAAGAUUGAUUUUGAUCAAUUGAUAUCAAUAAUUUUGGAAUUGAAUAAUGUAGACUCACAAGUCACAACUAUUGUGUGUAUUUUAUGACUUGAAGUUGUCUACAGCAUUUAAUUUAGUGCUCAUUAAUACAUUAACUUGCCUGACUAUGUUUUAGUCAUACUUCACACUUGCAUUAGAGUUCAAGCACUCAAAAGUAUGAGACAUCUCAAUUUGUCAGUUACAAUUCAUGAAAUAAAAUAGUGUAGAACCUGUGUUAGAAUAAUUUUAGGUUAAAUGGUAAAGAAAAGAAACACUUUUACAUAGCAAUAUAAGUGGCAGUCAGUUUUGGAAAAGCUAAGAAAGGAUUAAAGCCCUGUUUGAUAACCUAAUUUAAUACAUAAAUUUAAUGAAUUCAAAUCUUAAUAUAUUCAGACCGUUUGAUAACCAAAGAUUAAAGGGUAAAUUCCACUUUACCCCCCUGUGGUUUAGCAUUUUUUCACAUAACCCUCCUAUGGUUUUAAAAGCUAUACAUAACCCCCUUAUGGUUUGGAUUAAAGUGUCAAAGUGACGGGAAUGAUCAUUCAUAACGGGGUCACCUAAAAUGUCAAAAAUACCCUUAUGUAAAGUUGAAAUUUAUGUAUUAACCAAGGGGGGUUAUGUGUAUAUUUUGAAAAUCAUAAGGGGGUUAUAUGGUAAAGUAUUAAACCAUAAGGGGGUUAUAUGGUAAAAUAUAAAAAUCAUACGGGGUUAAUGUGUCAUAUAUUUAUAAGGGUAAUUUUGACAUUUUUAGAAGUUCCGUUACGAGUGAUUAUUUCCGUUACUUUGAUACUUUAAUCCAAACCAUGAGGGGGUUAUGUAUAGGUUUGGAAACCAUAAAGGGGUUAUGUAAAACAAGGGAAAACCACAGGGGGGUAAAAUGUAAUUUACCCAAGAUUAAACAUCUGAAUUAAUUAAUUGUUAUUGAAUUUUCUAGGCAAAACUUAUUCUCAAAAUUAAAUGAUAAGUUAUUCACUUAUCAUUGAAUAUGAUAUGCAUUCAAAUAUAUUAGAUUUAAUACUUAACAACUCAAUAAUUUAACGAAUUCAAAUUUCAAAUUUCAAAUUUUAGACUUCAAUUUUCACACUUAACUUUUAUCAAACGCAUCCUAAUUAGGCCACUUGCAUAUCAUGAAUGACAAAACUAUGUGGCUUCUGCUAGUACACGUUACGAUAGCAUUCCACUUCACGUGUUUGUUGGGGAUACUGGCAUGUCCAUUUGCAUCAUGUCCCAUUUCAUAACAAAAUAUUAUAUUUUAAAUAUAUAUGAAAUAUUUAAUUUACAUAUGUUAAUUUUUUAAUACAAUAAUAUAAUGUACUUGUAAAUCAAAUAGUAUCAAGUAAAAUAACUACAUAGAAUGCUUUGAACUGCAGUGCCCCUGCUAGAUUGAAUCUUUAACAAAUUGAAUGCUUUUAACAUUUUCAUUCAGGAUUUCAGUGCUAUAAUUUAUAAACAGUAUUUCCAAAAAAGAAUUGUUAGUGAAGAUAUCAAAUUGGUGCCCCUAGUAAGUAAUUGUGUUCAGAAAACAACUAGAGUCAAAAGUCAAAUUUUCGUUUCUUUGCUGUUCUUGUCUAAAGACAAUUCUGCUGACAAAGAAGUUCGAAAGAAAAUAUGCUCACAAUUUGGCAGGGCAAACCUCCUUGCUAAAAAUUAAGAUAAGAAAAAAAGUCAAUUCAUUUUCUCCUCAUGUUUACUAUUAUCUUAUUAAAUUAAAGGAAACCACGCUUAUAAAUUAUAAUCACUUAUAUAAAAAAUGCAACGGCAAUUUUCUCCAUUAUUUGGGAAAAAGAGGAAGGGGGAAAAAGGAAGAAGCUUAUUAUGUUCUGUAGAAAAAGGAAAGAAUUGAGAAAUAUAAUAGGUUUCGGUGAUAUUACAACUUGUAGUAGCAACUUGGUUCUCUCUCUCCCCGUGCAAGUGUGGCUUAAGUCAAUCACAGCUCACAGAUGCCCAUUGAUGUCCAUUGCUCUGUUUUUAAACUCAGACCGAACCGAUCGAAGAACCGACCAGUUGGCCGGUUCGAGUUAAUCCUAAAACUGGAAAAUAAAAAACUCAGUCAAACCAAGUCAAAACUCGGAUUUGACCGGGUUUUGAAGCGAUUUGACCGGAAAAAUGAACCCGAUCUUUUUUUUUCUUUUUUUGAAAGGUCAGAAUAUUUUUAAUAUGAUGUUUUGAUCCUUAAGUUGUUAAAAAUUAUUAACAUAUAUCAAAUAUUUCAUACUUUAUAAAUGUUGUCUUAAAGUUUGGUGUUAUUUUUCAAUUAAUUCCAUAAUUUUAAUUCUAAACUUGUUAAUGCUUAUUAAAUAAUAUAAAUUGCUACUUGAUUGCUCUAAUUUAUUUGUAUUUUCUUAUUAAAUAUAUUUGAAACAUCAAAUAUAUAUGAAUAUACCUUUAUUAAUAUUAACAUGUUAUUAAGUAUUUUACAUAUAAUAUUUUAAUUUUAAAUAAAUUUUAUUUAUGACGUCAUCCGGUUUAACCCCAUUCGAGCUCAGUUGAACCCAUUGACCCCUGACUCCUGACCCCUGAGCUCGACUGGGUCGAUAUCCGGUCCGGUUCUGAAAACAUAGGUCCAUUGUUGAAUUAGUCUCCCUGAAAAUUUCUAGCCAUAAGAAUUUUAACAUUUUUUUUUAGUUUAAGUGAAUUGUCUCAAAAUGGGAUCGCUCACUUCCAUUUCCUCUCUUCAUAUCAUCCAACUUAUUCCUCCUCCAAAUUUCAACUUGCUACUCCAUUACAUACUUCAUGGAUCUAUAUAUAUGUUCUCAGCAAUGUGAUGUCAUACUUCUAGUUCUAGAUACAUUCAAAAGCCAUGGAUAGUCGAUCAUUUGGACAAUUGUAGUUUAAACAACUAAGAAUUAGUGCACUCAAGGAUAAAAUUCAUUUUGAAAUAUCUAGUUCAUUGAAAACAUAUGGUCCUUAAUUUUUGUUUGGAUUUUGACGAUAUACAAGUCUGAAAUUCUAGAAAACAAAGAAAACUGCCAUCCUUGAACAAUUCUUUAGAGAUUUUUUUUUCUUUUUAUUUUUUGAGCAAAUGAAACAUCUUCCCGUUUAUCAUUGGAACAUAAGCUUUACAAAGGAGCAAAAUCUCUUACUACAACAAAAAAUCUGUAGCGAGCUAUUUUCCUUACUAUGAGGAGCUUUAGGCCAUAAGAGACAAGUCAGGUUGAACAAUUUUAACCACUGCUGAUUUAAUAAAAUUUGGAGUGAAGCCCUCCAACGUGUACAGGGUUUGUCUUUCCAAAAAAACAAAAACAAAAAACAAAACCGCUGCUGCAACUACUUCCAUUAUCAGCAUUCUGUAUACGAAAAUCAACAUUUAGUCUUUCCCAAAUUUAGUAUAUUUUAGUGCAAAAUUGAAAAAAUUCUCUUGGCGCAAGUGGAAAAUUGUAGAUUUGCAAUCAAUUACAAGUUUUCCUAGAAAAUAGAUGCCCAGUGAUCAACUAUGGCGCUUCAUAGUUCAGCUUUUCCAUUCUCAUACGUAGGAGUUAAUCAGAAUUUUCUAUGACAAAAAAAAAAGGAAGAAGAUUCAUGAAGAAAAAUAAUCUAUUGGCUGUACUUUAUUUCGAUUUAGACAUCAAUAGUGCAAUGGCAAAAGGACUUUGUAGAUGAACCUAGUUGAUGUAAUGAAUUUAUGAUGAUUUAAUUAACUAACAACGCAAUCAAUUCGGUCUACUAAAUGUCAUACUCAAGAGGUCAUCAUCUUUGUCAAAGGGUCUAUACAUUCCAUACAUUAAUAGUAAAUGUUAGUGGAUUUGUUACUAUUGCUGACCAUGUUAGCCACUGAUUUCUAUUAAAUCAUGUCUUUAGCUUCUUAUAAGCUUCUCUAUACCCUACCUAAUCUCAUACCAUUUUACUUUCUUUUGGAUUAUGCGGAAUGCCUACUUGACUGCCGGAUGCAAUGCCUAUAUUUUAAUGAUUCCGGUACAUUUUCAAAAUCUUCAAUUUAUUUUGUAAAGUAUCGAAGUUCAGUUCACUAAUUGGCCAUAAAAACACAUCAAUAGCAAAGCUGAAAUAUGCCACUUAUCCUGAGACUUUGCAGAAAGUUUGGAAUGUUAAUGUUGUCCCUUGUAAUCCGACUUAUCCGAUUAUGUGAAACUGAAGUUGUUGAAGGGUGAGAUGAGUUUUUCACUUGUAUACAAGCUGUUUAAUGGGGUUUUCAAUAAAAACUUUAUCAUUUGCUCCAAAAAAAAAAAAAAGAAGAAGAAUAAGGGUGAGUUGAGGAAGCUGAAUGCUAAGCAAUAUAGUUCUAUUAGUGAUAGAAUAAACAGGUGUGUAUGGCCAGUUAUGUGAAGUGCAAUCCUUUUCCUUCAUUCACCUUUUGAUAUCUCUUUGCAAUUUCAAGAACAAUCUCAGAGUAGUUGUCUCAACUAGGAGGCGACCAGCUAGGAUUUAUGUUUACUUUACGGGCCAAAGAUAAGAAUGAGAUCUUCUGGCCUGGCCACGUCUUCUUCUUCUUGGUUUUUUUUUUUUUUAAUUCUUCUUAUAGAUCUUUCAGGCGAGUAAGCAACCUUUUGGGGAAAUAAUGUGGUAUAUUUGGACAUUGGGAUAAUUUAACAAAUCUCCUCUGAGUUUUAUAACAAAUUCAUCAUAGUUCCCCUCAAAUUAUGACAUGACGCUUGUGUCUAUUAGCUAUUGAUUUCCAAGGUAAAUACUGAAUUUUACCUCUACGUUUACCAUUGACACUUCUAUACAAAGCGAUACAAAUUAUAUAUAAGAGAUUUGUGAAAAUGUUAUACUUCCGAGCUAUAACUCAUAAACAAAUGCAUUCGUAAAACCCUUUUGAUUCAAAUAUAUAGAUAUACUCAACUAUACAUUUAACAAUUUAAUGUGUGCUAAAGUGAGUAGAAUAGGCUUUUGAAAAGGUACUCAAAAGUAUGCUACUUCCAUCAUUACCUUCUAGCACGCAUUGUGCAAACUCUUUUCAAAUAGAAAAAAGGGAACGGAAAGGAGAUACAAAAAAGGGCUACAAAUUCUUUAAAAUAUGGCAAGGGUAAGCAUGGAAGUAACAUAUAACAUGAAACAAACAUAUUGUUAAGGAAACCUUAAAUCAAGAGAGGUAACAGUAAGUUUGAAAACUUUGGUGCAGCUAAAUGAAGUCAAAAACCUUAAACAAGGUUGAUGGAAUUAUCCUUUGUAAACUUUAUGUGUCCCUGGCCAAGUGAAAAAAUACUGUUCAAAAUUCUUAUUUCUAUCGGAACCAUUUCGAGGAACUCCAAUUCGGAUGUCAACACUAAAGGAAAUCUUCCCUAUGGUACAACUGAUUUUGAAAUUAACUAAUUAUUUAUAUAUUUUUUUGGAAACGAUAACUAUUGUAUAAACUAAUCUAUCCUACAUUAAAGGGAAGGGGGCAAACCUAAAGAGGUCCAGGGAUAUAUAGGAAGCAAAUGCAUUGUAUAUAGGAAGCUGAAAACCGAACAAGACUUUAUUAUUAGGUUAUCAGUAUUAUUGGUCGUAUCCAAGUGUCAUCAUGUUUUGUUUAUUCAAGUGUCAUAAUGUUAUUGAUAGUAUAAUUGGGUUGCAUGAUUAUGGUUGAAAGCGUGGAAUAUGCGAUUAAACUCCGUGUUAGGAGUACUGGUUUUGCUGUGGGUUUUUUCGUUUUCUUUGUCGCCUGCAUGGGGGCUUUAGAGCAUAAGCUUUUGUUUUGUUUCGAAACAUCACUGCCAAAAUUGCCAAUAGCAUAUCGAAACAUGAACACAAAAUGAAAGAUGUGAGGAAACUUUAAUGAAGAUAUGCCUUGAGAUUUAAACACCAAAGACAAAAGCUCGAAAAAUAUGAUCAAGGGAUCAAAAUAAGAACAUGCGUGUUGAUAAAACACUCCAACAAGUUAAGUCGAACCAAGGUCAACAUAAUCAAUUAUUUGAUUUCAAGAGUCAUAACUUUUGCUUGUAAAGAACAAAUAAAGUUAAGCAAUUUAUUGCUUUUUCCCCCCAAUCAGCUGUGUACCUCAACAUUAUUUCACGUCAAAAACUUGUUUUUCCUCGGACUAAAAACCCUAGCAUCUGAGGUUAUCACCAGUCUCGACACCCAAUUGUCUACAAUAUUCAGUAUAAUACUCAACUCGAGCACUAACUGUGUUUGGAUUUGCACCAUCACAUUCAAGCUGACCAUUAAUGGCACGAAUUGUAGCCCCAAAACCCUGGCCAGAAGUGAUAAGAUCAUGACAAUGGUUCAUCCAAUACCACAAGCCAGUUUUGAAUGAAAUAACAUUAUUUGUAGCUACAGUUUCAGGUUGGCUGAGUCCAUUGAAUCCAAUGCUUUCACCUGCUGGUCCAUAGUUAAAGUUCCAUGAUAACUGUAUUGGACCCCUGCCGUAAUAUCCCUUGCCUGGCACACAUGGAUACUGAGUGUUGCUCUCAUCACAGUAAUCUCUGGAGGGGCCGUCUAUCUCUUCUAUGUAGCACAAAUCUGCGCAAUAUAAAGAAAUUUUGUCACUCAAUUGCAAUGAUUGAUAAAGGGUUAAUAUCAAAGAAAAUCAGCAGGUCUGGAAUUUUUUGUAAAUUUUUAGAUUUGAUUGUUUUACUGAUGAAUUCAAUUGGUGAGAAAAGACUUUAUCCCAUUUUGUAAAAAUUGGAUUGGACAGACUUAAAGUAAACACUCUUUUUAUGAGGUAAAAUUUUAGAAUGAUUUAACAUUAUAGGGUUAUACGAUAGAUAAAUAAAAAUUGGCAAUAGCAAGAUUAAGAAGGGACCAACAGUGAUAUAAAAAUUACAAAGGUAUCAUGGACGUCUAAAAUAUAUUUGGCUAAUAAAUUUGAACUAAUUUACGGCCAAAUUUAGGUGAAAUAGUUAAUUCUACUUGGUAAAUUGGAAGUUCGGAAACGUGUAUCUGUCAGUUGUCAUACUCAUGAGCGAGCCAAUCUUAACUUAAAAAAGAAAAAGAAAAAAAGAAAAAGAAAAAAGGAAUCCAAAAGAUAAAAGUAGAAAAGGCAUGAAUUUUAAAACGUAAUCGUAAUACCUUGUACCCGAAACAAAUAUGUGCAAUACUUAUUAAGCUAAGCAAAGCCACAUGAUCUACUCUUAGAUGCAGCAAAAUAUACAACCACCUUAAGCUUGGAAUGUAAAGGCAGAAAAACUUGCUUAUGUAGAUAUAAAAGUGACCACUACAAGAAAAGUAAAAAGAAUAUGGAGAUACUAAUCCUUCUGUUCAUCAUGAUAAAUUAUUUAACAGUAAUAAAUCUUUCAUAUUCAAGUUUUAUUUUUUGAAGAAAAAAUUCUUGGAUAAUAGUGCACAGGAGAUUCCAAGAUAUACUAUCUAGAAAUUCACAGGAGCUACUAAAAAAGUAGAAAAUAUCUUCAAAAUUUAAUUUCCAAGCUAGUGUUAUUCAAAACUUACGUCGAGUCUCAUGAGUGACAUGAGCAAAGAAAGCAGCAAUCUCCCUUUUAGAAUCAUCAACAGAACCAACGGUUCCAAACUGGGGAUACGAAUUCAGAGCUUCAAGAAAAGCUGAUCGAGUAUAGAACCCUUUUCCAGCACAGCUUGAAGCAGCUUGAUCAGCAAUCCCAUUAAAGAAAGCGUCCGUCACAAUAUCAGCAACUGAAACGCCACUAUUACCACUGCUCGGAGCAGCAGUGCAAGGGCCGGAUUGACAGCCAGAGCCACAGUAGUCGUUGCCGGUACCGCAAUAGCCGAAUUUGCUGCAGCACAAGUCUGGUGCACAGCCGCAGUUUUGGCUUGAAAUCAGCUGUGGAAAGGCUCCUGCAAGAACUACAAUGGAGAAAAUGAUGGUUGGAAAACUCUUCAUUUUUGGAUUUGAUAAAGGAGAGAAGCUUGUGGGCAGAAGUUGUAUCAGAAAAAAGGGUAUAUAUAGGGAAGAGAACUGAAAACUGAUCAGCUUGUGUGAAGCAUGCACAGCUGUUAUUGUUGAAAAUAUUAAAUUUGAGCAAUUAAAGAAAACAGAACAGAAGACGAAAGCGUGAAUGGUUGACAUCUAUCGAGUGUAUUGACUUUGACAUUGUCAAUGAAGCGGAAACUUUCUUUCUUGGUUUCUAGAAUGGGAAAGGUCAAAAAGAAAGAUUUUGGCCAAUUCGUAUGAACAAUUGUGAGAAUAAGGCAUGUAGACUCACAAGUCCCCACUAUAAUGUGUGCAAAAAUAUAAUUUGAAGUUGCCUAAAUCAUUUAAUUUCAUGCUUGUUAUUGAGUUUAUUUGCCUAACUGUGUUUUAGUAAUACUUCAAAAUUGUGUUUGAGUUAGAACGGAAAAAAAUAUGAGACAUACUUAUUUUUUUAAUUGCAAUUCCAGAAAUAAAAUCUUAUAAAACAUGUAUUAGAAAAAUUUUGAGGGUAAAUGAUAUGAAAAAAAAAAAAAAGAAAUAGUUCUAUAAAUUGACAUAAGUGUUCAUCGGCUUUUGGAAAAAUUAAGAAAGAAUAAAGCAGCCGACAUAUAUAUCAUGCAUAACAACAUUAUGUGGCUUUUGUUAGUACACGCUAUGACCAUAUAUGUUUCAUUUGAGAUGCUUGUCGGACGUGUUGAAUUGUUGGCAAUGAAAUGCUCCAAAAUGUCAGCACUAUAGUUUAUAAAUAGUAUUAGGUCAUACUGAAUUAUCGACAUAUCGUUACAUGCAGAGUCGUGAAAAUAUACAAGUCUUUCCCUAUCAUUAAUUAGUUGGUCAAAUGACAAUUUUAGAGUGGCUGCUGACUAUGUCAAGAAACAUCUUGCAGUAAAUUGGGCGAGUUAAUGUACUUUUCUUUUUCUAAAUAUUUGCACUUAAACUCUCAAAUCGACCAUAGUUUUAACUAAUUUUGCUCUGGCUUUAUUCUUGAUUCGCAAAAUUCAGAAAAACCAAAACAAACCCUUGUUACUGAAGAUAUCAAAAUGGUAACCCAACUAAGUAAUUGAUUUUGAAAAACAUUCUGAACCAAAUUUCAAGUUUUGGUUUCUUUGCUCUUUUUCUACUGAAAGGCAACUUCCCCGGGCCAAGAAAUUUAUGAUGCUUAAGUUUUCUAUCCUCUUAUGAUCAAGUCAAACCAUGCUUAUAAUCAAUUACAUAAAAAAUUACGGGCAAUUUCGUCAUUAUUUGGGAGGAGGAGGAAUAUUAAGCAAAAAAAAGUUCUAUUAAGAAAACGAUGAAGCAUAUUAUUUUCCAGGAAUAAAAAAGAACGAGCAGAGAAAUACAUUAGUUUGGAUGACAUUACAACAUUUAGCAACAUGAUUAGGGAUGCAAUGGGAUGGGUGCCAAUUGGGAAUCAAUGGGAUGGGAGAAAAUGCAGGAGGGGAUGGAGGCAUUGGAGAAUAUUUCUCCUCCAACAUUAAAUGGAUACCUCCAUCCCAUCCCCUAAAACCACUUGUUGCUAUUCCUAAACAGGAUGCUACUUAUAUCCUCUCUCUAUGAGCAUGUGUGGCUAGUGAGGAAUGCAGGAUUUUGAUUUUGGCGGGGGGAGGGUGGGGCAAAUUGACAAUCAAGAAACAACAGAAAAAAAAAAACCUUAGCAAGUAAAGCACACAAACUUAAAAUGAAAGUUUAAUAUACGAUAAAUAAAAUAUAAAUAUUUUUAAUAAUAAAAUACACUGUAUAAAUAAAAUGAUAGAGCAAUAAUUGGGCACCAUAAGUGCUGUUAUUUGGUCAUAAUGUUGGCUACUUAUCAUGCAAAGUAGUGCAGCUUUGCUCAUAUUUGAUAUUUGUGUAAAUUAUAGGCGGUUGGUGUUGAAGGUGAUCUCUCAAGGCAAAUUUUCAGAAGACUUUUUAUUUCAGCGCGUACCCACGCUAGAAACCACAAAGAGACUCCUCAAAGGUGGACGCUGCUGGAAGUGCGUUAAAACAAAAAGGCAAUAAUUUCCAGCGAAUUGGGUAACAACCAAUAAGGAGGAAAAUUAGGGGCACUAGUCUACAAAGCCGGACCCCGCGAGACUAGUAGACAAAGUGGGGAAUUAGGAAGUCUUCAAAGCGGCUAUUUUCUCGUGGGCUGCAGAGGUGAAAAGGACAAGUAGUUUGAGUCUUGCAGAGAGCCUUUGAGUUCUCUUACGUUUUGUCUUGCAGCGGCCACUCGGGGGAGGAUUGAAAAAGCCAGAUUCACGUGGGAUUAGGAGAUUAGCUUUAGUUUCUUGUAUCCCUGGGUAGACGAUCUGCUCUCUGUUUUGCUUUUGACGACUUUCUUUAGACCUUUUUCUUUACUUUUCUCCAGCACGAACACGAAACCAAAAAAGAAGCAAGACUUUUCGUUUGUCUCGUCGUUAUUUCAUCUUUCCCAACUUUUUGGUAAUUAAGUGGAUGGAAUCAAUCAAAUCACGCGAGAUUGAUGUGAUGAGGAGCGGUUAGGUUUCUCUGCUACCCAAAGGUCAACGCGAUGGCGCAGUCCAUAACAUCUGUGAGAUCUAAUCGAACUUUCACUAUUUCUCCCAAUCCAUUACUAUUCGUGUGUUUCCUAGAUUAACUGUGUAUGGUUAUUUUAUUAAUUGAGUAUCAACAGCCGGAUAUUUAAUUUAAUCUAAUAGCCUACUGUCGCGUUAACUAAAUUGAAUCCGUAAUUGUUCGUUUAGUUGAUAAUUAGUGACAACCAUCAUAAUUGGCUUUAUGUUUGGGAAACGUAAGAUCUAAUUUAAAUAAACCCUCUUAGCGUAUUUAUUGGUUAGGGUUGGAUUUUUCUAGCGUUAAUGCAACUCAAUAAUUAAAUUCCUACGGUCGUAACUAGGGUUAUUUUCUGAUUAGAGAAGCAGUCAACGGUCGUACCUUGGUUAUCGAAAAAGUAAGAAAAAACUGGCAGUCAGAAUUUGUUGAUAGCUAUAACCAACCUAGUGACGAAUGAGUGAAAUAUUUUUGCAUCGAUGAUCAUUUAAUUGGACCGUGCCUGAAAAGUUGAUCCUUUGGGUAGAAUUUUGUUAAUUACUUUUUUUAGUGAAUUGUACUUGGCGAGUUAGCUUUUGAAUUUUGUUUAUUUUAUUUUAAUUUUCAUUCCAUUAAAUAUCCCCCAAUUUUGUUUUAUUGACUUGGAAAGAAACAACUUCUUACCCGUUACUUGUGGAAUCGACCCUACUUGCCAUUUUCAGAAACAACUUCUUAAAUUUUAAUCCUUAUGAAACCCAGCUUCUCUCUCAAUUUUCAGAGGUUUCUUUUCCUUCAUUAUGUCAAAGUUGCUAUUAUAAUAACUGUAAUUAGACAGCUAAACCUAUCAUUCCAAUUAUACCCUUGGUCCGUCGUGGGAAAUACAUAAAAUGUGGUGGCGCUACCCAAUAAAUCCCACAUUGAACCAGAUAAAAUUGUUUAAGGACUAAAUUGGUAAAAAAAAUCGUAAAUGAUGAAAUUGAUUUAAGUGAAAAAGUUCAAGGACCAAAUUGAUGAUUUUUCCGUAUUAUUAUUAUUAUUAUUAGUCUGAGAUGCCGAACAAGUUGUGGAGACUUAUUUCACCUUUACAAGGUCAUUGGAGGGCUUGACGAGGUGCGAUGUGGUAAGGAAAGGCACAAAAAACUCUUUUUUCUUUAUUAAAAAACAUACAAAUUGCACUAAUAAUGGCUGAAAAUGCAUCCAACAUGCAAUAGUGAAAAAUCAUUAGAUGCAAGAUAUAUAAAAGUUAGCAAAAAUUAUCUUAUUACCUCUGAUAUAUUCCAAAUUCAGAUAAAUCAUCUGCCCCCAAUGAAUAUAUGUGCAUAUCAUCAUUGUCAAUAAAUAUUUAUGCAUAUCAUUGCCGUUAGAUUUUAUAUUGAAGUGGUUCAAGCUCCAAAUCUAGUUUUAGACUUGAGAAAAUAAGUUAAGAAAUUCAAGAUUUGACAUACAAAUCUGAAAAGCUCUCAAAUCUAACAAAACAAGAUAUAAAAUUAUCUAAAUAAAACUCUCACUAGGAUAUCUUAGUAGAGAAGAAAAUUCUCACUAGAAAGUCUCACUAUAAUUUAUUCGACAUAAAAAAAAAGAGAAGUCAAACAGAGGGAGGAAGGCAUUCCUCCAUGGAGGACAAAAUAAUUGUCUUGAAGGUUUUGUAGAGAGAUGGUGGAGAAACUUCUUUUGUUUUAUCCGUUGGAUAUCUUUCUAAUUGUUAGUUAACGAACAAUAAACUCUAAAUGAAACUACUAAAUUUGCAACCGAAGACAUUUUUGUUCUUGUAUUUUAGUAUCGUAAUCGUCACCCAAUCAGAGCCGCCCAUGACGGCUUCAUUAAAUAUAUAAUUUGGGAGAACCAAGAUUUGAGGCCAAAUUUCGGCAAUCUUCAAGGCACUUUAUUGUUUUCUCACAAAUUUUGUUUAUUUAUUGUAAAAGAUUAACUUCAAAGUGUCCUCAAAUUUCUUCCCUAUUUUCUCUCAAACUUUACCCGUGAAAAUUGUUUGUCUUCAUCUCAUUGAUUGUCUCCCCCAGUGCAUACAAAUGUAUUAUGGGCAUUUUGGUGAAAGAAAGGCAUAAACCACAACUAAAUUUUGCCAAUAGCAUAUGAAAAUAUGAAGAAGAAUAAUAAUAAAUGAAAGAUCUGUCUAACAGGUGUCCAUAGAGCGUCAUUAAAAUAUAUCUCAGGCGUCAUGCUUUUGGAAAUGUAAAAUUAAUUAGAAAAAAUAAAUAAAUACAAGAGACAGUAGAUAAAAUUAAAUAAGAAAAAUAUAUAAAUGCAAGAAAGGUUAAUAAUUGUUAAUAGAUGUAUAUACAUGAUAGAUUAGAUGAACGUUAAAUAUGUUAACGAGUGCCUUAUUAGCAACCGUUAAAAAAAAUCCAUAAAUGAAAGAUGUGAUCACCAAAUCAUUGACAAAGAAAUGUGUUGAAAAUGAAACAAGAAAGUCAAACAUGAUAAGGGAUCAAAAAUAGAAUUUAAUAAUUGCAGAUACUCCAAGAAGUUGAGUUGAAAUCAGUUAUCCGAUUUCCAAUUCACAACUUAUGCUGUCAAAGAACUACAAAGGUACUCAACUUCUGCAAAUUUUUAUUAGUUUCGAAGCUCUUACAAGUACCCUAGCACCUGAGAUCAACACCCAACUGGUCACAAUAUUCAGUAUAAUACUCAACACGAGCACUAACAGCGUCCGGAUUUGCACCAUCACAUUCAAGCUGUCCGUUAACGGCACGAAUUGUAGCCCCAAAACCCUGACCAGAAAUGAUAAGAUCAUGACAAUUGUUCAUCCAGAACCACAAGGCAGUUUUGAAUGAAAUAACAUUAACUGUGGCCACAGUUUCAGGUUCAUUUAGUCCAUUGAACCCUAUGCUUCCCCCUGCUGGUCCAUAGUUAAAGUUCCAUGAUAUUUGUAAUGGACCCCUGCCGUAAUAUCCCUUGCCAUGCACACAUGGGUACUGAGUGUUGCUCUCAUGUGACAGUCCCACCUCCACCUGAGGCGAACCAAAGGGUUCGGCGGACUGCCUGCCCAGCUCUCGCCGGAACUCAGUCGUUCCUCAAGCAAAUCCGGAAUGCAACAAAAGGAAUAACAUACAACAAUCCAAAACUUAAGCGAAACUUAUAUACAUUGCUAUCUCAAAAGGAAGUACAACCAUCAAAUGUACAAAGGUUCUCACUUCACCAUACAACCAGCCCGUGCCAAGCACUAGGGCGAGAACCAUUACAAAACCAAGAGCUAGACCAAGCUAGUCUAUUCCAAGCUCUCAUCCUUGCGUGCCUUCCCCUGUUAAGGAAAACAAAACUAAAGGGAUGAGCUAAAAGCUCAGUGAGGUUCUGAACAUAUGAUCAAGCCAUAAAUCAAACAAUAAGUCAAGAAACAUUUACAAUAGAAAGUGAUAAUGACACAUACAAUAAAAGGAUACGUUCGUUCGUUCGUUCGUUCGUUCGUUUGUUCUCCGGUCAUUUCCCUUCUUCCUUCAAUCUUUUGAAAUGCAUUUUUCUUUUGUAAAUAAAACCCUCAUUCGUUCUUUUGUUUCAUUCACCCCCCUCCUGGACGUUGGCCAGGCUCCACCAACCUCCACCAACCUACAAGGUAAUACUCGAGUAUACCAACGCUCACACCCAGGGUCACCAUAUCGCCCGACCGAAUCCGCUUCUGGACCGAGUCCGCUUCUGGCUCGAGUCGAUCGGUAACGAAGGGCAGGGCCCAAUUCAGCCAAAAGGCUUACAUCAUGCACAACUAAUGUAUCAAUCAUUAGAUCGUUGAAAAUUUCACAUUUCUUUAGGACGAGUGCGAUAAAGUACACACUCGCUUAGAAAACUCGUUUUGGAAAUCAUUGAAAGCACUUAACACGUUAUCAAACAAUAAUACAAGUCAUGAAGGCAAGAAAAUACAACAAACAAGGAACACUCACCUAGUUAUGCAAAAUAACGUGCAAAAUAUCCUUCCGGAUAUGACCCUUAGUCACCGAGAAAACCUAAAAUUAAACGAGAGAGAAUAUUACAGUUCAUCGAGCAAACAAGUAAGUGAAAUCAAAGAAAAACCGGCAAAUGAUAAGUAAAACAUAUAAAGACGCCUUUAUAGUGAAAAGGGGAUAUUUGGAUCGGAGGACAGAAAUAACUAGGGUUUCAUAAACCAAACGCAAAAUGAACUCAAACGGGUUAUAAAAUGUCCUGCGGAAAACACUUGGACCAAAGACAACUCGGACUCCAAUGAGAUAGGCUAAAAUAUUGUUUUUGGAAUCGUUUAGAUAGUUCAAAAUCAACUCAUACCCAAGCAGCUAGUAUAGACUAAACGUCAUGAUAUAAAAUGGAAAACCGGUCAUGGUAUUGGCCAAACAAAAGUAUACAAGUUCAAAUAGAAACUUAGCCCUCAAGCGAAAAUUUGGGCAGCACGCCCUUUGUAUUUACCUAUUUCCCAGCCAUUUAUGGCUUCAUUAUUUCCUCAAUCAAUCCCAAAGUCAUGCACAAUAUAAACUCAUUAUAAUCAAGCUAAUGACAUGUGCGGAAAUGAAGUUUAGUUUGGAAAACAAAAGACAGUUUUAACGUUACUGAGCGGAACAGACGUAACAGGAGCUACACUUAUCGGAUUGAGGUGUAAUGUACACCGUUUCGAAGCUAGGAGAAAGGGGUACAAUGUUGAAGAAGGCCACUCAGUCCAGUUUGCAAUGUAUCUAGGUCAAAUUUACCAAAAUAUCCCCAGGUUUUCCAAUUCGAAGUUUACUGUGGCAGUCCUGAUUCAUUCAGUCAUCUCUCAGCAUAUACAACUCCAAUUCAAGUGAUUCCAAAGCCAUUUAAAAGCUAAGAUACAAGGAUAUAAGUCUUAAGAAGACAUUGACAACCAAAUCAGUAGUAUUCCUGGUCAAAACAACCAAUUACAGAAGCUGAUUAGCAUGUUCGGGUAGAAACAGGGCAGCAGGGGUAUUUCAGUCUUUUCAUAGGCAACAUUGCUCCGAUUGGCCUGAAAUUUUUCAGACAACUAUAAAACAUCAUUAUCUACAACUUUCAUGUUUUAACCUAAGGCUAAUUCGGCCUCUAACUAGGUCCAACAGUGCCGGGAAGAAUAGUGAGAAAUUGGAACCCUAACCUGGAAAUUUCGGUUCAAAGCAGAAAUUUUCCGCAAAUAGCUACAAUUUACACACUAAGGCUUCAUUCUAAACCAUUCCCAACCAUCAUACAUGGCCACACAAUAUUCAUCAUAUUAAAACAGAAAAAUCAUGAAUAAAUGUAAAACUUCACCAAUUUCUAUCAAAAAUCAUGAAACAACACCUAAAGUUAUCUCUUUAACUCACAUAAGGUACCAAUUGAGCAUUAAUAGGAUCAAAGGGAAGGUUCCUUGGUCACAUACCUUGCAAACCCAAGAAAAGAUCCAAUUUAACACCUUGGCCUUCCAAACCACUUCACAACCAACCUUAACACCACUAAACUAAGAGGUUUUAUGGAGUAAUUUGAAUAUUAAACGGUUGGAAUGAAAGAUUGAGCAAGUUUAGAAGUAAGAAAGUGGAGAGAUUUUUCUUCUUUUCUCAAGAAAGAGGGCCGGCCAAGAAGCUUUCAAUUUUGGAUGAAUUUUGGGCAAUUUUUUGAUUUAUUUGGUAAAGUAAUGAAUAGUGGUCAAAAUGUAAGAAUAAAUCUCCAAGUGACACUUGUCACUUCAAUUAAUACAUGGUUAUCCUUUUGUCCUCUCACACCAAUCCAUUUAGUAGCCUCUAGUUAUCUCUUAGCACCUAGUAAAUUAAUCUCAGUAUCCCAAACUUAACCUAAUUGGUCGAAUUUCACCGAACUUUCCGCACUAGCGGGUCCCACGUCAAUACUACACUUCAAAUUUAACGUACACUAACUUAUAUCAAGAAAAUAAUUUGAAAACUAUAUUCACUUAUAAAAAUGUAUAGAAAAUUAAUAUAUUGAAGAAAAGUAUAAAUUUAUAGACAGGAAAUAAAAUAAUGUCUAGAAAACAUAUAAAAUUUUUCCGGGUUCUCACAUCUCAUCACAGUAAUCUUUGGAGGGGCCGUCUAUCUCUUCUAUGUAGCACAAAUCUGCGCAAUGUAGAGAAGUCUGUAUCAAUUAUCACUGUAUUCAAUUGCAUAUAUGAAAGCCAUUGAUACAUCAUGGAUUUUAGAUGUUUUUACUAUUAAAAAAAAUAUAAUCUAAAUACAAAAAUAAAUGAGAAAAUAAAAAAAUUGAUUAUUUAAAAUCAGAAUCUAUAGUCAGUUAUAAUAAUCAAUCAAGAACAACCCCAAAACAAUGUCAUCAAUAAUUAAGAAGGGACCAUAUGUUAUAAAGAUAUUGUAAAGUUACAUGUAAUCACAGACUAAAUAAAUAACCAAUACAACAAAGUAGAAAAGAAAAAGGAAAACAAUAACCCCUCUGCCCAGUUAUAAGAGACACACCCUCAUGAUAAAUUUCUUUUUUUUUUUAGGUGGGUCAUUUUAAGUUAUUUGACUUUAGUAAGUAUUUCAUAUUAAUGUCGUUAUCUUUGAAGAAAGCUCAUGGACAACAGUGCACAGGACAACAUCCUAUGUAGAACUGUACAAAGAUUUAGUAAAUAGGAUCUCAGACUUAGAAAAGUUACUAAAAAUUUCAAAAAAAAAAAACUAAAUCUCCUUGGUGGAGUUGUUCAAAGCUUACGUCCAGUCUCAUGAGUCACAUGAGCAAUGAAGGCAGCAAUCUCCCUUUUAGAAUCAUCAACUGAACCAACUGUUCCAAACUCAGAAUACGAAUUCAGAGCUUCAAGAAAUGCCGAUGCAGUAUAGAACCCUUUUCCAGCACAGCUUGAAGCAGCUUGAUCAGAAGUCCCGCUCAAGAAAGCGUCUGUCACAACAUCAGCAACUGAAACACCAUUAUUACCACCAUCUGAUGCAGCGGUGCAAGGGCCGAACUGGCAGCCUUUGCCACAAUAGUCGUCGCUGGUGCCACAAUAGCCCCACUGGCUGCAGCAUAAAUCUGGUUCAGAGUCACAGUUUUGGCUUGAAAUCAGCGGGGAAAAGGACCCUACAAGAACCAAUGUUUUCAGGACCGACCGCGGCACCAAUCCGGUCCAGUAUCAAACCCGGAAGCUAGUGGAAAACUGCUGGAAACCGUGUGAAUCGCUAAAAACUUGAAACAAUAACCUCACAUUCAAAACAAUAACAAGAAUGGAGGCUAUUGGGAUUCGAACUCUAGUCUUGAUGACCAUAAUAAGGUAUGCUUACCACUAAACCACAACUGAAGGACAAGCUUUUGUUAUGUAGAAUUUUACUUAACUUAACAAAAAAACUAAAAUCAGAUUAAAUAAAAAAAACCCUAAAAGACCAAGCUUCACCAAUUAGAUUAAAUUAAAAAAAUCCCUAAAAUUUUUGGCUUUUUUCUUAGUUUCACCAAUUAGAUUUAUAUUUUUUGUAAUAAACUUUUAAAUUUUUUCAGGUUCAAUUGAUGAAAUUGUGAAGGGGAUGCUGUUGCCUUGUUAUGCCAAUGAUGGAAGUUUGUUAUUCGAAUUGUUUGCCUUGAAUAUGAGUUGAACUUUUUAUGGACUUUUUUAGAAUUGUGAAAGAAUGUUAACAUUUAUUUUAUUUAUUUUUGUGUUUUUGUUUGUGAUAAUUGAUGAACAUUUGGACUAUAUCUAUUUAUGUUUGUAAUGAAUUUAUGACAACUUGGAGUGAAUUAUGAUAUUUUAGUUAUAUUUAUCAUUCCAGGUUUCAUGUAUAACUUUUAAAAAAUUUAUUAUUAUCUCAACUUAAAUUUAGAUUUAACUUUUAAGUUAUAUUGGUGAAUGUAUUUUAGGGACUUAAGUUAUUAAUAACCAUGUUAGAUUGUACAUUAGCCGUCAAGUUCCAGUGUAGACUAUAAAGUGAAGACCUGUGAAGUACAAAAAAAAAAAAAACUGUUGAACCGUUGAACCUGUCGGUCGGACCGUGAACCGGCCCCCUCUCCGAUUCGCUGGCCGGUCCGAGAUUAAAAACAUUGACAAGAACUGCAAUGGAGAAAACCAUGAUCAGAAAAUUCUUCAUUUUUGUACUUGAAAAGGGAGGAAAGGAUGUGGACAGAAAUUGUUUGAGUAAGAAGGAUAUUUAUGACAUAGAGAACUGGAAAAGUGAUCAGCUUGUGUGAAGUAUGGAGAACUGCUAUUGUUGGAAAUCUUGAAGUUGAGCACUGAAUGGAAUGGAUAUAAAAAGCAAUAUUAGUGCUUGACUUUCAAUUAACCGAUUGACUUUGGCACUGUCAAAAAGUAGCAACCUUCUUCUUGGCAUUCGGAAUGGGAAUUGUGGAAAAGAAAAAUUUUGGCCAAUUGAUAUCAACAAUUGUGACUACAAGUCACAAGUCACAAAUAUAAUGCGUGCAAAAAAGAUAACUUGAUGUUGUCUGUAUCAUCUGAUGUUAAUGACGCCAAACUCUGUUGUAGUCCUAUUUCAGUCUCGUGUUUGAGUUAGAACACAGAUGAUAUUUGUACCAUUCUAGAUCCACGGGCUGCCCUGCUACACAUACUUUUCAUUUGGCUUAAAAAAAAACAUUUUAAAGGGUGUAAGCUUUACAAUUAAAGCACGAUCUUUACCGUAUCAUGCAAAGUAUUGGACAUAUAAAAUUUUAUCAAACUGUUGUAGUGAAAAGAACUCAAAUGAUCCAAUUUUAUCCAGUUGAUAAAUAUAGAAUCCUAAAUAAAAUGCAUAGUCCUUUUUUUUUCCUUUAGAGUUCUUAUUGCAUACUAUACGAAUUAAUUGGUAAAAUUUUGGUAGCGUAUAGGAAAUGAUACCAAUAUAAAAACUACAUUUACUACUCGAGGGCUUAUUAUGCUGCCCAAUUUUUUGGUCUCUACCAUGAGCUGAAAAAAAAAAAUCUUUUCGACGCAUAAGUUUCCCCAAAUUCUCAUAGACUUUACAAAUGAAAGUUAUUUGUUUCUCGUCGUUCAUUGUCUCACCAUGCGUGUGCAGAUGAAUUAUUGAUUGGCCUUUUGGUGGCAGAAAGAUAAAACAGAAUUGAACCAAAGACAUUAUAAUUCCCUAAUUAGUCUCUUCAGCCAGUUGAAUUAGAUCUUAUUCAAAGUCUUCAGUACUUCGGAUAAUAGCGCUCUAUGUUCCUUAGUCUCUUAUGCUUCGGCUUACUCGCAAUAUUAAUUGCCUUAACAUUGGUGCAUUUAGACCCUUGCAUAUGGUAAUUCAUAAUCUUAGUAUAGUUAUGAUCCUCAAAUAUCAUACCUUGAGAAACAUCACGGCUAAAAUUGCCAAUAGCAUAUUGAAACAUGAAAAGUAAAUGAAAGACGUGAGGAAACUUCAAUGGAGAGACAUGUUGAGAGUGAAACACCAAACCAAAGUCGAAAGCCCGACAAAUAUGAUCAAGGGAUCAAAACUGGAACAUGCCUAUUUGUAAAUACUCCAAGAAAUCGAAACAAGACCAACAAAAUCAAUUAUAUGAUUUCAAAACUUAAACAACUUUCGCUUGUAAAGAGCAAGAAAGGUAAACACCUUUUGCUAAUUUUUAUUAAUUUCCAAUCAGUUUUAAGCCUUUAUAGCUCAACAUACCGAGCACUUUCGGCUCUCCAGAAGUACCCUAGCAUCUGAGAUUCUGACCAGGAUCGACACCCAGUUGGCGACAAUAUUGAGUAUAAUACCCAACACGAGCACUAACAGUGUUUGGAUUUUUACCGUCACAUUCAAGCUGACCAUUAAUGGCACGAAUUGUAGCCCCGAAACCCUGGCCGGAAAUGAUACGAGAAUGACAAUUGUUCAUCCAAAACCACAAGGCAGUUUUGAACGAAAUAACGUUAUCUCUGGCUACAAGUUCAGGUUGACUUAGUCCAUUGAACCCAAUGCUUUGUCCUGCUGGUCCAUAGUUGUAGUUCCAUGAUAUUUGUAGUGGACCGCGGCCGUAAUACCCCUUGCCUGGCACACAUGGAUACUGAGUGUUGCU